rnacentral:rRNA from 1 species
UACAGAGGUCUCAAGCGUUGUUCGGAUUCAUUGGGCGUAAAGGGUGCGUAGGCGGCGCGGUAAGUCGGGUGGUGAAAAUCUCGGAGCUUAACUCCGAAACUGCAUUCGAUACUGCCGUGCUUGAGGACUGGAGAGGAGACUGGAAUUUACGGUGUAGCGGUGAAAUGCGUAGAUAUCGUAAGGAAGACCGUGGCAAGGCGGGUC